UCCUUUUUGUAGUGAGGGGCCCAAAACUGAACACAGGAAUCGAGGGGCGGCCUCACCAGAGCUGAGUACAGGGGUAAGAUCCCUUCCCUGCCCCUGCUGGCCACUCUAUUUCUGAUGCAAGCAAGGAUGGCAUUGGCCU